rnacentral:rRNA from 1 species
CCUACGGGAGGCUGCAGUGAGGAAUAUUGGUCAAUGGUCGGGAGACUGAACCAGCCAAGCCGCGUGAGGGAUGAAGGUACAGAGUAUCGUAAACCUCUUUUGUCAGGGAACAAAGGCGGGGACGCGUCCCCGGAUGAGUGUACCUGAAGAAAAAGCAUCGGCUAACUCCCUGCCAGCAGCCGCGGUAAUACGGAGGAUGCGAGCGUUAUCCGGCUUUAUUGGGUUUAAAGGGGGCGCAGGCGGGCUGUUAAGUCAGCGGUAAAAGCCCGGGGCUCAACCCCGGCCCGCCGUUGAAACUGGCAGUCUCGAGUUGGAGAGAAGUAUGCGGAAUGCGCGGUGUAGCGGUGAAAUGCAUAGAUAGCGCGCAGAACUCCGAUUGCGAAGGCAGCAUGCCGGCUCCACACUGACGCUGAGGCACGAAAGCGUGGGUAUCGAACAGGAUUAGAUACCCUUGUAGUC